rnacentral:rRNA from 1 species
GAUGAACGCUGGCGGCGUGCCUAAUACAUGCAAGUCGAGCGAACAGACGAGGAGCUUGCUCCUCUGACGUUAGCGGCGGACGGGUGAGUAACACGUGGAUAACCUACCUAUAAGACUGGGAUAACUUCGGGAAACCGGAGCUAAUACCGGAUAAUAUAUUGAACCGCAUGGUUCAAUAGUUAAAGACGGUUUUGCUGUCACUUAUAGAUGGAUCCGCGCCGCAUUAGCUAGUUGGUAGGGUAACGGCUUACCAAGGCGACGAUGCGUAGCCGACCUGAGAGGGUGAUCGGCCACACUGGAACUGAGACACGGUCCAGACUCCUACGGGAGGCAGCAGUAGGGAAUCUUCCGCAAUGGGCGCAAGCCUGACGGAGCAACGCCGCGUGAGUGAUGAAGGUCUUCGGAUCGUAAAACUCUGUUAUUAGGGAAGAACAGAUGUGUAAGUAACUAUGCACGUCUUGACGGUACCUAAUCAGAAAGCAACGGCUAACUACGUG